rnacentral:rRNA from 1 species
GACGAACGCUGGCGGCGUGCUUAACACAUGCAAGUCGAACGCUGAGGCUCAGCUUGCUGGGUGGAUGAGUGGCGAACGGGUGAGUAACACGUGAGUAACCUGCCCUCUUCUUUGGGAUAACGCCCGGAAACGGGUGCUAAUACUGGAUAUUCACUGAUUCUCGCAUGGGGGUUGGUGGAAAGGUUUUUUCUGGUGGGGGAUGGGCUCGCGGCCUAUCAGCUUGUUGGUGGGGUGAUGGCCUACCAAGGCUUUGACGGGUAGCCGGCCUGAGAGGGUGACCGGUCACAUUGGGACUGAGAUACGGCCCAGACUCCUACGGGAGGCAGCAGUGGGGAAUAUUGCACAAUGGGCGAAAGCCUGAUGCAGCGACGCCGCGUGAGGGAUGGAGGCCUUCGGGUUGUAAACCUCUUUCGCUCAUGGUCAAGCCGCAGCUUUGGGUUGUGGUGAGGGUAGUGGGUAAAGAAGCGCCGGCUAACUACGUG